GUCCAGUUAGUGCACUAGCAACUGAAGUUAGGAAGGCUCGGGUGGACGCUGCCAACCAGCAAUCCAAUCUGCCUGAUGGCCAACCCUUUGACUGCUGGGAGCCUGGAGCUUUCUGAAUCAGACAACUUCCAGACUUCACAUGUGCUGCCAAGCACAAGAUAUAUUCUGGAAAAGAAGAGGAGGAGGAAGAAGAAUGACUGUAAAGGAAGGAGCAGUACUGUUUUCAUGAGGACCUACUAUGUGCCAGACAUUAUUCUAGGUGCUGGGGCUACCAU
rnacentral:lncRNA from 1 species